CCAGGGUCCGCCUCCUUCCUGGCUCCGCAUCCUUCAGCAUCCUCCUCCUGCAUCCUCCUCCCUGCCUGUCUCCUGCCUCCAGCCCUGCAUCCUUCCGCGCCUGGGUACCACUGGCGCUGCUUGAGCAUCCUUCUUUCUAGGCAGCAGGAGCUCCAGCGAGGAAGAGCCCACCCCCUCCUCUCUUUCUUUCUCUCUCACACACACACAUCCCCCCCCCCACACCACAGCGAUGGGCUCUUCUUCGGAGGCCACCUUUUAGGCAUUGAACACAAGGGAGGACCACCGACCCUCCAUCCAAGAGCCAUGGGGGUCUUGAUGUCCAAGCGGCAGACGGUGGAGCAGGUGCAGAAGGUCAGCCUGGCAGUGUCAGCCUUCAAGGAUGGCCUACGGGAGAGACCGACAGCCAAGCGCAAGUCUGAGGGGACCAUCAGCCGCCGAGGGACUGUGGACAACACUGUGCAAGAGCUCAAAGAGGAGGAGGUAGUGGUGGUGGAAGCAGGGUCCUCGGCAGGGUCCUUGCAGCAGGAGGACAGUAGGGUCCGGAAAGCAGCCUGGGAGAGGCUGAGAGAUGGCAAAGGUGUAGAGCCCGAGGAGUUUGACCGGAACAGCUGCUUCACCCCACCAGCCUUUGUCCGCCCCAAACGGGGGCAGCAGGAUGAUGAGCCCAUCGAGAUCAGCCUGGAAGAAAGAGAGCAGGUAACUAAUGACGAGAUGUGUGAAGUAUGUGAGGUGUGGACGGCGGACACCCUCCUACCCUGCCGUGUUUGCACCAGGGUCUACCAUGAUGGCUGCCUAAGGCGGAUGGGCUUCCUGCCCGACGGCAAUGCCACAGAGGUCCUGGAGGUGGCCCACACAGAGACUGGAUGGAGCUGCCACUGUUGUGACAACCUCAACCUGCUACUCACAGAGGAAGAGAUGGCCAGCCUGUCCGAAUCCUUCCAGAAAUGCCAACUCACCCCUGAAAGCCAGCUGAGCCUGGAAGACUUUCUGCAUUACAAACGCCUGGCCAGCCAGCAGGAGGGUGAGCGUGCCAAUGGCAGUGGCAGCACGGAGGAGCAGGAAGAGCAGCUGACCCAGCAGUUUGCUGCACUGGACCCUGAGAAGAACGGUCACGUCGCAUGGGCGGAUUUCCUCUCCUAUGAGUCCAUCCUGCUGCUGCAGAGGAUGCGCACCCAGAAUGCCCUGCUACGCCUGCUGACUGGGAAGGAGAGGGAGAAGGCACGAGCCACGUUCCUGGCCUUGGAUCAGCACGGAGAUGGCUUGAUCAGUGAGGCAGAGAGUCGGCGCACCCAACACACUUGGUUCCGAAAGCGGCACAAGGAGAUGCCCUCCUGCAAUGUCAGCAUCAGCCAUGUGGGUCCCAUCUCAGAGAGCAGCCCCACCAGCAGCACCAGCAGCAAAAGCCAGGACAAGGUCUUAUUGAACCCAGAGCCAGAGGAGUCAAGUCGAACCAUCAACUGGUCAACUUUCCUAAGGGAUAGCACCAUCUACAUCCUGGCCGCACGACCCAACAGCUCAGCUGUCCACCUGAAGCCAUUGGCAUAAGAGAGUUGUUCAGUGACGGAGAGGAAGGCCAAGAGAUCUGCCCCUUUGGCAAGCGACAGAGAAGGGGCAACUGGCCCUGCUUUGCCAUCUUGAUCUAUCCAGGAAACACUUCACCAUUGGACAGUGGCAAGGGAACUCCAACUAUCCCAUGUCAGAGAACCUCCAAGAGUGGCUAUGAGAGAAGAGCAGUUGGCUCCUUGGGCCAGUAGCCAUUGGCAUCUCCAAAUCUCAUCUCAUACAUAGACACACACAACCCAGAUAAACAAAACAUCAUUUGGAUGACAGAGGAUCAUACCUUUCAGUCACGAACUGUAAAGCGUUGAUGUUGUACAGUAAUUUCCAGUUGGCCAGCUGAUAAAAUAACUUCUUCGUUUCUCCAUGCAAUCUGGUGGCCAAGAGUAGACAGGAUCCAAAUAUUCCAACUGUUUCCCACUUUCUGCUUAGCUGAAGAAAACUCAAAAUGUUCAUGCACAGAGCUUAUGCAUCACAGCCAAUUGCUUGUUUCUAACUGCUCAGGACUGGUACAUCCGCACAUCUCAGACCUAUUCUGGUUUCUGACUGGCCUGCUUUCAUGCCCUGCAGUUGCAUUCCAGUUUGUAUUGGUGGGAAAGGGACCAAACCCAGACCAACAGACCUGACCAAGAGCCCUGGAGAUCUGACUGGAUGUUGGCUUAUUCUCCAGACCCAUGACUAGCCUUCAUCUUGGAUCUGCCAACUGAACUCCUCCUUCAGUACUACUCCAUCAUGGGUUGUGUUAAAAACAUCAGAGGAGCACCUCUGCCCUAACAACUGACCUUACUGGAAGCAGUCACACAGAAAGGCUAUCAGAAAGCCCAGCAGGUACAACAACGACUAUCCAACCACUAACAACAGCAGCCCACACUGACCAUAGGUCACACCCAAAUUUAUACGUUUAGUCCAUGGCAUGAGCUUCUCACACAGGUGUCUGCAACAGUCCUCUUGCAUCAGCCUCUUGCAUCUUGCUGGUUGAGUCAUCCUGGGCAUAUCUUCCAAGUGGUGUGAUGAUGACCCUCCAUGUCUGUCACCAUGUGCAACCUUUCCUUUUGUUGCAGAACAGAGCAUCUUCUGCCAGCUGCCAUACUCUGUCCUGUGAAAUUCUAUUCCCAUAUUGUACAUACACUCUUACUCUCAGCCCCCCCUCCUAGUACAUGAAGAAAGUCAGGUUGUGCCUGGGCAACUGCAUGCAGAUAUGGGCACAGGGUGGAAAAGUACCUCUUCCGCCCAGCCAAGGUGCCUGAGAUCAGUUGCUAGAGCUGGCAUAAAACAGAGUGACCCAGAAGGUCCAAAGGCCAGGCUCCCGGCAUUUUGACCAAACCUGGCAAAGCCAAAAGGCUCAUCCGGACAGACAGUCCAAGAGGCUGGUGUGCAAUUCCCCCCUUCCCUAUGCACAGACAGUCCCAGGAAACUUUACCUGUCCCAGUUUGACAAAGAUAAUCUCAAUUAAUCCUCUGCUGGCCCGCUCCACCAGCUGCUUUUAAAAGAUCCCACUUUCUUCCUCCCCCUCCCACUUUCUCCCUUGGUUCUUUGCUUCCUUCACCAACUGCAAACUGAGUUCCAAGUGCAAAAGUCAUUUAUACUUAGUUAACACAGCAUCAUACAGAGAGCCAGCAUGGUGCCAAUGGACCAGGCUUCAAUUCCCUACUCAGCCAUGGAACCCCAGUGGGUGAUCUUGAGCAAAGCACACACUGUCAGCCCCCUAAAAACCAUGAUAGCAUCUCCAUAGGUCAGAAACAACCUGAAGGCACACAACAACAACAAACAGGAGAAGAGCAGAGAUCUACCUUUUCCAGUAGGAACAUCUGUUUUUUUCUUUUUUCAGGCUUUCCUGAACUCAGUACAUAGAUUCCAAGGCUUCUCUGGUUAAAAUGAUCAUUUUGUGUGUUCUUCCAGUUACUAACUUUUGCUUUCUUUUUUUGCUUGGCCUCACCCUUAUGACCGCUCUCUCAUGUUGUUUGCCCACAUGUGCCCACACAGUUUUUAUCUUUGAAAUGUUGGACAUUUUGCUGGAUGGGUGACCUAUCAUGCUAAACCAAUUUUUUCCAUCUCCCAAAGUUCAGAUAUGGAGGUGAUUCCCUUCAUCAUGUUGGUCUGAGUCCCCAGUGUCCCUCCACAUAAGAUUAUAAAAAGAGACCAUGCUCAGAGCAGCCUCCUGGUUUCCUGCAGAGUUCCAUGGAUUUGGAGUCUUCAAAACCAGGCAGAAUUGCCAUAAGAGCCAUUGUUUUUUUGAUGUCCGGAUUGCUCCAGAUUCUUGUGGCGGCCUGCUGGGCCAUCACGACUAGAUAACCAUUGAUAAGCCUUAUUAUCUGGAUUUGUCUAAUCCUUUUAUAAAGCCAUCCAAGACAGCUGCCAUCACUGCAUCUUAUGGAAGGAAGUUUCAUGGUUUAACUGUGUGAAGAAAAUCCUUUGACCUCUCCAGAAUCUUGCAGCUUCAACAGUUCAAGAAGGAGAGAGACAAGGGUGUCCUUGUCCAAUUCUGUUUUUUCUUAGACUCCAAUAGAGAUUCCUUUUCGCUUGAUGGAAGUGAAGUAAGUAUCCAUAACAAAUCCAGUUUGAUCUCUGACAACAGAAAACCCCAGAUAUGGAGAAGUUGGUUUGACUGCAGCCUCCAGCUCAGUUCUCAUAAAUGAUGUGUCCUCUUGGCCUUAGGAUUGGGCUUGACUACAUCUCAAAUAAUGCAUCACAAACAGGUAGUCAUCCUGUUCUAAUGUAACAAGAUUCAUAGGAGCUGCAAAGGAUCGGCUGGUUUCCCCAGUGAAUUGUAUGGCCUGGCCUUUGUAAGAUACACAGGACCUGUUUCUAAAGGUCUCCUUCCAUGAUCUUUAGGUGGCCUUUUCCAUUGGACUCUACAGAGAUGCAUAUAUUCUGUAUCAAGGCAACCUGAAUUCUGUGGUCUGAAUAAAUAAUGUAA